UACGGGGGGAGCAAGCGUUGUUCGGAUUUACUGGGCGUAAAGCGCGCGUAGGCGGCUUUGUAUGUCGAUUGUGAAAGCCCCGGGCUCAACCUGGGAACUGCAGUCGAAACUGCAAAGCUUGAAUGUUGGAGAGGUUGGGGGAAUACCUAGUGGAGAAGUGAAAUUCGUAGAGAUUAGGUGGAACACCAGAGGCGAAGGCGCCUGACUGGCCAAACAUUGACGCUGAGGCGCGAAAGCGUGGGUAGCAAACAGG
rnacentral:rRNA from 1 species